AAGAAAAUGACAGAGUGGUUAUGUGAUUGGCUUGAAACCAAUUAAUGGGGGAUCAAUACCCUCUUUUCUCG
rnacentral:tRNA from 1 species